GAAGGCUCUGAGAUGCGUGGAAUCACACCCCAAAGGUUUCACUGUGUCCGGUGAUUCCUUGGCUGCCUUUUUUUGUGCUGCUGAAGAGGCAGGCAGCAUAUUGAGCCUCAUCCAUUUCACACGAGUUCCUAUGAGAGAGCCGUCAUAUUUUCACUGUGUUCUUUUCAUUUCUCACGGAUACCUGUGCAGACAGGUCAGAAUACUCUUGGGGAAGGAAUGAGAUGAAGCCUGCAAGAGUGUUUUGGGGUGUCUAGGUGUGCUUUCUUAGGAUAAACACAUGUCCCAAAACAUUCGUC
rnacentral:lncRNA from 1 species